GAUAAGAACGUAGCGAAAUGCGAUACGUAAUGUGAAUUGCAGAAUUCAGUGAAUCAUCGAAUCUUUGAACGCAUAUUGCGCUCUCUGGUAUUCCGGAGAGCAUGCUUGUUUGAGUAUCAGUAAACACCUCAACUUCCAUAUCUUUUUUGAAAUGGGAGUUGGACUUGAGUGAUCCCAACGCUUUUCCUCACCGAAAAGUGGCGGGUUACUUGAAAUGCAGGUGCAGCUGGACUUUUCUCUGAGCUAUAAGCAUAUCUAUUUAGUCUGCCUAAAAAACAGAUUAUUACCUUUGCUGCAGCUAACAUAAAGGAGAUUAGUUCUUGUGCUGACUGAUGCAGGAUUCACAAAGACAGGCUUCGGCCGACUUUGUAAACUCGAUCUCAAAUCAAGUAAGACUACCCGCUGAACUUAAGCAUAUCAAUAAGCGGAGGA
rnacentral:misc_RNA from 1 species